UUUUCCACAUACUGCACAUUAUUGUUUCUCCUCUAUGCCCAGCCUAUCUGAAACACGUAAAUUCUUACAAAGCUCAUUGGUCU